UUUAUGGAGAGUUUGAUCCUGGCUCAGAGUGAACGCUGGCGGCGUGCCUAAUACAUGCAAGUCGAACGAUGAAGCUUCUAGCUUGCUAGAAUGCUGAUUAGUGGCGCACGGGUGAGUAACGCAUAGGUCAUGUGCCUCUUAGUUUGGGAUAGCCAUUGGAAACGAUGAUUAAUACCAGAUACUCCCUACGGGGGAAAGAUUUAUCGCUAAGAGAUCAGCCUAUGUCCUAUCAGCUUGUUGGUAAGGUAAUGGUUUACCAAGGCUAUGACGGGUAUCCGGCCUGAGAGGGUGAACGGACACACUGGAACUGAGACACGGUCCAGACUCCUACGGGAGGCAGCAGUAGGGAAUAUUGCUCAAUGGGGGAAACCCUGAAGCAGCAACGCCGCGUGGAGGAUGAAGGUUUUAGGAUUGUAAACUCCUUUUGUUAGAGAAGAUAAUGACGGUAUCUAACGAAUAAGCACCGGCUAACUCCGUGCCAGCAGCCGCGGUAAUACGGAGGGUGCAAGCGUUACUCGGAAUCACUGGGCGUAAAGAGCGCGUAGGCGGGAUAGUCAGUCAGGUGUGAAAUCCUAUGGCUUAACCAUAGAACUGCAUUUGAAACUACUAUUCUAGAGUGUGGGAGAGGUAGGUGGAAUUCUUGGUGUAGGGGUAAAAUCCGUAGAGAUCAAGAGGAAUACUCAUUGCGAAGGCGACCUGCUGGAACAUUACUGACGCUGAUUGCACGAAAGCGUGGGGAGCAAACAGGAUUAGAUACCCUGGUAGUCCACGCCCUAAACGAUGGAUGCUAGUUGUUGGAGGGCUUAGUCUCUCCAGUAAUGCAGCUAACGCAUUAAGCAUCCCGCCUGGGGAGUACGGUCGCAAGAUUAAAACUCAAAGGAAUAGACGGGGACCCGCACAAGCGGUGGAGCAUGUGGUUUAAUUCGAAGAUACACGAAGAACCUUACCUAGGCUUGACAUUGAGAGAAUCCGCUAGAAAUAGUGGAGUGUCUGGCUUGCCAGACCUUGAAAACAGGUGCUGCACGGCUGUCGUCAGCUCGUGUCGUGAGAUGUUGGGUUAAGUCCCGCAACGAGCGCAACCCCCUUUCUUAGUUGCUAACAGGUUAUGCUGAGAACUCUAAGGAUACUGCCUCCGUAAGGAGGAGGAAGGUGGGGACGACGUCAAGUCAUCAUGGCCCUUACGCCUAGGGCUACACACGUGCUACAAUGGGGUGCACAAAGAGAAGCAAUACUGCGAAGUGGAGCCAAUCUUCAAAACACCUCUCAGUUCGGAUUGUAGGCUGCAACUCGCCUGCAUGAAGCUGGAAUCGCUAGUAAUCGCAAAUCAGCCAUGUUGCGGUGAAUACGUUCCCGGGUCUUGUACUCACCGCCCGUCACACCAUGGGAGUUGUGUUUGCCUUAAGUCAGGAUGCUAAAUUGGCUACUGCCCACGGCACACACAGCGACUGGGGUGAAGUCGUAACAAGGUAACCGUAGGUGAACCUGCGGUUGGAUCACCUCCUUUCUAGA
rnacentral:rRNA from 1 species